rnacentral:lncRNA from 1 species
UUCUUCAUGAUCACCCUGUGGCUGGUGUUAUUUGCAGAUAAGAAAACUGCAACUCAAGAUGGUAAAAACACCCAGAGCCCAUCAGCUACAGAAUCUAUGUGGAAGUGAAACUAGCCACCAAUGAAAGUGGUACCCCAAAAUUGAGUGAGCAAUUCAGGGAGACAUCUGUGGAUAUUAGAAAGCGAACUCCGCCCCUGUAACUAAUGAGUCCCAGGCUCUGCCCUGUUCUAUUUCCAAAAGAUGAAGGAAAGCAGGCACCACAGAGCAAAUCUCACCCUAAGAGGCCGAAUGAUGUCACCCAGAACCCUGGAAGCCCACAGAAGUAUUACCCUUUAAGAAAAAAAGCCAGGUACUCCCUCUGGCAUUUAUUUAAGGACACGUAGAGACCCUGUCACUAUCCCCAACAAUAAAUACCAAUGUUGCCUUGGUGUAUGACUGGAGGAGGAAGCAAGAUCACAAUCCCAGAUGACUGAAUCCAACUUCACAAGGAAGACCUGAUCUUGGCAAAAGCCAAGGUUUUUCAAACUCAUCCCUUUGGGGGUUGCAGUGUUUAAAAGUAAAUUUCUUCCCACCACUAAAACUCGCUGGGUGGAAAUAGCCCUUGGAAGAAUGGAAACCCAUGUCCCUCUGCAGCAAUCCAGUCUGCCUCCCAACGCUCAGAAAUGUGCUGUGCUCAGCAUUUCUGUGCUGAUGCAGCAUCCAUGGUCAAAAAGGCGGGCGGCUGCAGCAGCCACAGCAGCAGUUGCUCUAGGGGGUGGAAAUCAGAUUGCACCAUUUCUACCUCAUUUGGCAGCAGAAGCACCGAGUCACAAGGAAGACGAGGUUCUAGUCCAGAAGCAGCUGGGCUAUAUCACUUUAAAGGUGGUAAAAAAAUGUCUUCAGCUAAUGUCGUGGAGCACUUACUAUGACAAGGUGUUGUGUUAA